UCAGCUUGUUGGUGGGGUGAUGGCCUACCAAGGCGAUUACGGGUAGCCGGCCUGAGAGGGCGACCGGCCACACUGGGACUGAGACACGGCCCAGACUCCUGCGGGAGGCAGCAGUGGGGAAUCUUGCGCAAUGGGCGAAAGCCUGACGCAGCGACGCCGCGUGGGGGAUGACGGCCUUCGGGUUGUAAACCUCUUUUACCACUGACGCAGGCCCUGGUUUCUGCUGGGGUUGACGGUAGGUGGGGAAUAAGGACCGGCCAACUACGUGCCAGCAGCCGCGGUAAUACGUAGGGUCCGAGCGUUGUCCGGAAUUAUUGGGCGUAAAGCGCUCGUAGGUGGUGUGUCGCGUCUGCUGUGUAAGUCCGGGGCUUAACUCCGGUUUGGCAGUGGAUACGGGCAUGCUAGAGGUAGGUAGGGGAGACUGGAAUUCCUGGUGUAGCGGUGAAAUGCGCAGAUAUCAGGAGGAACACCGGUGGCGAAGGCGGGUCUCUGGGCCUUACCUGACGCUGAGGAGCGAAAGCGUGGGGAGCGAACAGGAUUAGAUACCCUGGUAGUCCACGCUGUAAACGUUGGGCGCUAGGUGUGGGGACUUUCCACGGUUUCCGUGCCGUAGCUAACGCAUUAAGCGCCCCGCCUGGGGAGUACGGCCGCAAGGCUAAAACUCAAAGGAAUUGACGGGGGCCCGCACAAGCGGCGGAGCAUGUUGCUUAAUUCGACGCAACGCGAAGAACCUUACCAAGGUUUGACAUCGCCGGUAAUCCAUCAGAGAUGGUGGGUCCUUUUGGGAUCGGUGACAGGUGGUGCAUGGCUGUCGUCAGCUCGUGUCGUGAGGUGUUGGGUUAAGUCCCGCAACGAGCGCAACCCUUGUUCCAUGUUGCCAGCACGUGAUGGUGGGGACUCAUGGGAGACUGCCGGGGUCAACUCGGAGGAAGGUGGGGAUGACGUCAAGUCAUCAUGCCCCUUAUGUCUUGGGCUGCAAACAUGCUACAAUGGCCGGUACAGUGGGCGUGCGAUGCCGUGAGGUGGAGCGAAUCCCUAAAAGCCGGUCUCAGUUCGGAUUGGGGUCUGCAACUCGACCCCAUGAAGGU
rnacentral:rRNA from 1 species